rnacentral:rRNA from 1 species
CCUACGGGUGGCAGCAGUGGGGAAUAUUGCACAAUGGGGGAAACUCUGAUGCAGCGACGCCGCGUGAGUGAAGAAGUACUUCGGUAUGUAAAGCUCUAUCAGCAGGGAAGAAAAUGACGGUACCUGAUUAAGAAUCCCCGUCUCACUACGUGCCAGCAGCCGUGGUAAUACGUAGGGGGCAAGCGUUAUCCGGAUUUACUGGGUGUAAAGGGAGUGUAGACGGAAUGACAAGUCUGUAGUGAAAUGCCGGGGCUUAACCCCGGAACUGCAUUUGAAACUGGGAAGCUUGAGUGCAGGAGAGGUGAGUGGAAUUCGUAGUGUAGCGGUGAAAUGCUUAGAUAUUAGGAAGAACACCGGUGGCGAAGGCAGCUUACUGGACUGUAACUGACGUUGAGGCUCGAAAGCGUGGGGAGCAAACAGGAUUAGAUACCCUAGUAGUC